rnacentral:rRNA from 1 species
AUUGAACGCUGGCGACAGGCCUAACACAUGCAAGUCGAGCGAGCGGCGGACGGGUGCGUAAUGCCUGGGAAUAUGCCUUAGUGUUGGGGCUAACUAUUGGAAACGCUAGCUAAUACCGCAUACGCUCAGAUUCGCCCAGGUGAGAGUAGCUAGUUGGUGAGGUAAGAGCUCACCAAGGCGACGAUCUCUAGCUGGUCUGAGAGGAUGAUCAGCCACACUGGAACUGAGACACGGUCCAGACUCCUACGGGAGGAAGCAGUGGGGAAUAUUGCACAAUGGGCGAAAGCCUGAUGCAGCCAUGCCGCGUGUAUGAAGAAGGCCUUCGGGUUGUAAAGUACUUUCAGUAGGGAGGCGUUACCUACAGAAGAAGCCACGGCUAACUACGUGCCAGCAGCCGCGGUAAUAC